rnacentral:tRNA from 1 species
UGGGUUGUAGCUCCGUGGUAGAGUGUUCAUCUCACAUGUGGAAGGCACUGGGUUGGAUUCUCAGCACCACAC